rnacentral:tRNA from 1 species
GUUAUUGUAGUGUACAGCACAUUAAGUUUUCAUCUUAAAAGAGUAAAUUUGUUUUACCAAAAAUA